CUCUUAUGUGCCUGGGCAUAUUGCUUUAUAUGCUGUAAUAGAUCUCUGAAGUUGAAGGUAAGCAUAUUCUACAAGGAAUACUAAAUAUUAUCCCUCUUUCAAUAAUAAUUUAUACUCAAGUCUUAGUUUGUUUUCAUGGUGGAUAGAAAUUCUCCUGGAUGUUGCAACACAUCUUGUUCUGCAUGCAGUAGUCAACUCUACCUUUGCGGCCAGAUAUAAUCUGGUACCUGAUGGUGCCUGGAUUUGAUAGAAGGCAGUUGAACUGCACUACAGUUUCUCAUUGUUGGUAAUAUAUAUUUAAGUCAAGUUUAGCAUCUUAAAUUCCAUACCGUGUAUGAAAUAUGACAGAUGGAGACUCCACCCAAGGCACCUGUCAUGUUUUCUUACGUUGACUUUUCCGCGGAAGUUAUGUCUAUAAUUGUUGAUUUGAGUUGAAAUGGAAACUUUCCCCAUUAAAGAAGUUGCAAGGAAGCUAGACGUGCUGAUGUGAAUGGCUGGAUAAAUAGAAUCUUCAUCUAUGCAGUCUAAACUGACUCUCGACUCUGCAUUUUCUUAAAAAAACUCUGGUCCCAAAAGUCUUUCCACUCGUUUUUCUUUAUACGUUUUUUUACUAUAAAUUUUGCACUUACCCGUUUGCCAUUGCUUGCAUUCUAGCAUCCAAUCAAACUGGCUCGCAUUACCUGUCCCACCCCGUUCCUUUCAGGGAAGUCAGAAAUUGGCGUUCUAGUUUUCUGAUACCCUUGGCUAUCUAAACAACUGCAAAUAGCAAAAUCUUGAAUACCCACAACCACAAAGCGAUGAGUCCCUCUUAAGGAACAUGUCUUCUUCUGCAG
rnacentral:lncRNA from 1 species